GGAUGUGAGGGUGAUCUGGCUGCAACAUCUGUCACCCCAUUGAUUGCCAAGGUUGAUUCGGCUGAUCUGGCUGACUAGGCAAGUGUCCCCUGUUCCCUUCCUCCCUCACCGCUUCAUGUGCACUUGGUCAAAGAGGAGGACUUUCCCUGAUAGAGGACCGGUCUUUGGUCAAGGGUAUAGGAGUAGCUGCGCUUCCCUGCUAGAACCUCCAAACAAGCUCUUAAGAAAGACAGACCCUUCAAAAAGCAGUAGUCAGGUUAGGGUGUGGUAGUAUAGGCUUGUGCUCUCUGAUACUCAGAAGGCAAAGAUUGGAGGAUCUAGGUC
ensembl:misc_RNA 7SK 7SK RNA